UUAUUAAUGGCUUUAAUUUCAAGUUUAUUCAUGUUUUCUUAUAUGUGAGGUUUAUAAUAAAUCAUACAUACAUAUAUUUACUGUGGUGAGAUAUGCAUAACCUAACAUUUCCCACUAUGACCAUUUCAAGUGUCCAGUUCAGUAGCAUUGAGCACGUUGUUCUACAACCAUCACACCAUUCAUCUCCAGAACGCUCUUCGACUUGCAAAACUGAGACUCCGUCCCCAUUCAGCACUCACUCCGCAUCCAGUGCCCCUGAUGCCUCAUCCAGGGCUGCUGCAAGCCGACCCACCAGGCAGGUGCAUGGGGCUCGCACCUGGGACUUCGCACUUCUAACCUCUGCUCUCGCCUCCCCAUCCCUCUUGCAGAUGAAGGCUUAUGGGACAUGUUUGUGAAGGACAUCCCGCGGAGCGCCACAUCCUACACUCUCAGCCUGGAUAAGCUCCGGCAAGGAGUGACUUACGAGUUCCGGGUGGUGGCUGUGAAUGAGGCGGGCUACGGGGAGCCCAGCAACCCCUCCACGGCCGUGUCAGCUCAAGUGGAAGCCCCGUUCUAUGA
rnacentral:sRNA from 1 species